AAAACUAAGGCUGCAAAUAAGAAAAAAGAUAAGGGAAAAAGCAGACCAGCGUAGAUUGGAUACCGAACUAUUGGAAACCAGUGGAAACCAACUCUGGAUAUCAGGAAUGCCCAUUUUGCAAGAAAAUGUACAAACUCCCAUAAUGGUGGAUCAAGAAAGUGGACAACAAGAUGUGAUGGGGACACCAGAAUGUGUACAAACUCCAGUGAUAGGGACACAAGAAAGUGUACAAUUACCACUUAAAUUGAUUUUAUUGUAUAGUUCGUGGUUUUUUAUGUGGGUCUUACUUUGGCUGCUAUUAUGUUCACAUAUGCAACUAGGAGUAGAUGGAACGCAGCCACCCAUGGCAGAUGGAACGCAGCCGGAGAUGGUAGACCGAACGCAGCCAAGCAACUUCUUGUAGCAAGACUUUAUAGAUUCAUUAUGCCUACUUAUGUUGGAAUUAGUGUUGGAUGUGGUUUGUAUGCAUUUGUGUGUUAGGAGUGAUUUGUAAGAAUUUGCGUGUUGGUGUAUGGUAUGUUGGAGUAUGUUAUGUAUUAGUGGUGCAAGCAUACAUUUUGUAUUGUAUCUUAGUAUUUGAGCCCAUGUUUUGCACAAUUUGUAUCCAAGUACGCUAUUUAUGUGGCAGUGAGUUUGUAUCCAAGUACUCAAUUUAUGUUAUUUUGAUUGAAUGUGAAUGGAAUUAGUGAGUUGA